GGAGCUUCAUUCGUAAAUUACACAUUUGUCAUCAUUGGUGGAAUACGACCAUAAAUGUUGUUGUUAUAGUACAGCAAGCUAUGAUUACAAUACAAUAUGGGUUUAUUUUGAUAAUGCAAAUAUUAACGACAUUAUACAUAAACCGACAGAAAUGCAUUAUAAUAUUUGUCCACAGCACUUUCAGCGUCUAUAUGUAUAUUUUAUUCAAUUUUUAGUUCGGAAUUUCUAUCCCAUUCGCCGUGUUUAUCAUGAUGAUGCUAACAUUAAUAACAUUUUAUACGAACCUCCCACCUUAUAUAUAUAAUGUCUCCCACCGUUUUAGAUACAUCUUAACAUUAUGUUCAAUUUUUAGAGCGUAAACCAUCUGUCAAUUUUUUCACUGUUUACAUUUUCGUGCCACAAAUCGUUGCCACUUUUUUCACUCAAGUUCCACUUCUCUUCUCUGCUACUACAAUGGCUAGCUUCCACUUUCACCUUAAUUUGCGACGACAAAUGUACAGUGUCGACGUCUGGUGGCGAUAUUAGUGCUUGGGAGAUUUUCCAAAACAAUACUCGGAACUUGACAGUUCAGUAUAGUUGCAUUGGUGAACCCGAGUGCCAACCCGUGAAACAUCUCAGUGCGGAACUAACAGCUUUCGGGUUGAACCAAGGAAAGUGAAGUGGAAGAUGGUAUCCAAACAACACUAAACAUUGACUACAGUUUCGCCGGCACGGUUAAUUGCCGUUAUGGACCAGCACAAAAAACAAAACUGCAAAUUAUGCGCCAGUGGCGGUACUACGAUCAAAGCAUUCCUUGAAUAAAUCUUAUCACAUUAGCCGAGCUGGUUGGCGGAAGCAUAUGCAUAAAGGUUACUAGGUUACUAUUUUCAACGACAACUGUUUAUUUAUUAUACUGCUUCAAAUACCUUCGACGAAAUCAAAUGUAACCAUACCAACGUAAGUAAUAAUAUAAACAAAUCCAAACUUUUCUUCUUGCCAUUCCUCAUACGUCUUUUCUAAAUAGUGUAAAUUACGAGCCACCUGUUAACUCUACCAUCUUGGUCAUAAUGACCCAAGCAGGUAUGCCCAUUUCG